CGCUCCCCGGUGUCGCGGCUGCCCAGGUAGUUAUAGACCUUUUUCAAGCUAGGGACAAAGACAAGCACAAGCUAUUUAUUGAAUGGUCACAGUCCCUUAUAAUUGAUGUUCUAGAUUUCUUAUCACACUCAUCUCUGAAUGUCAAAUCUGUUCCUACAAGUGAGGCACUAAGUCUAUUUUCUAUUCACUCUUUCAUUGCUGGGAGGAACUUUGAAACUGUUGUUGACAAUCCAUCUCCUCAAGUCGAGCGGCAAAUCCCCAAUUUG